UGGGGAAUAUUGCACAAUGGGCGAAAGCCUGAUGCAGCAACGCCGCGUGAGCGAUGAAGGCCUUUGGGUCGUAAAGCUCUGUCCUAGGGGAAGAAUAAAUGACGGUACCCUUGGAGGAAGCCCCGGCUAACUACGUGCCAGCAGCCGCGGUAAUACGUAGGGGGCAAGCGUUAUCCGGAAUUAUUGGGCGUAAAGAGUGCGUAGGUGGUUUUGUAAGCGCGGGGUGAAAGGCAAUAGCUCAACUAUUGUAAGCCCUGCGAACUGUGAGACUUGAGUGCAGGAGAGGAAAGCGGAAUUCCUAGUGUAGCGGUGAAAUGCGUAGAUAUUAGGAGGGACACCAGUGGCGAAGGCGGCUUUCUGGACUGUAACUGACACUGAGGCACGAAAGCGUGGGGAGCAAACA
rnacentral:rRNA from 1 species